CCUACGGGAGGCAGCAGUGGGGAAUCUUGGACAAUGGGCGCAAGCCUGAUCCAGCCAUGCCGCGUGAGUGAUGAAGGCCUUAGGGUCGUAAAGCUCUUUCGCCAGGGAUGAUAAUGACAGUAYCUGGUAAAGAAACCCCGGCUAACUCCGUGCCAGCAGCCGCGGUAAUACGGAGGGGGUUAGCGUUGUUCGGAAUUACUGGGCGUAAAGCGCACGUAGGCGGAUUAUWAAGUUAGAGGUGAAAUCCCGGGGCUCAACCCCGGAACUGCCUUUAAAACUGCUAGUCUUGAGUUCGAGAGAGGUGAGUGGAAUUCCGAGUGUAGAGGUGAAAUUCGUAGAUAUUCGGAGGAACACCAGUGGCGAAGGCGGCUCACUGGCUCGAUACUGACGCUGAGGUGCGAAAGUGUGGGGAGCAAACAGGAUUAGAUACCCUGGUAGUCCACACCGUAAACGAUGAAUGCCAGUCGUCGGGUAGCAUGCUAUUCGGUGACACACCUAACGGAUUAAGCAUUCCGCCUGGGGAGUACGGUCGCAAGAUUAAAACUCAAAGGAAUUGACGG
rnacentral:rRNA from 1 species